AAAAAAAAAAAUCCUUAGUUUCCGUGUUCAACAUUUGACCAUCUAUUUUAUUUAAAAAAAUAUGAAAAUAAUUAAAAAGAUAAGUCACACAUAAAGUAUUAAUCAUGUUUUAUCAUAUAACAACAAUGAAAAUACUAAUUAUAAAAAAAAUUCAUAUAAGACGGGCAGUCAAACGUUAGACACGGAAACCUAGGGUUUGCCUAUUU
rnacentral:pre_miRNA from 1 species